AUUGAACGCUGGCGGCAGGCCUAACGCAUGCAAGUCGAACGGUAACAGGAAACAGCUUGCUGUUUCGCUGACGAGUGGCGGACGGGUGAGUAAUGUCUGGGAAACUGCCUGAUGGAGGGGGAUAACUACUGGAAACGGUAGCUAAUACCGCAUAACGUCGCAAGACCAAAGAGGGGGACCUUCGGGCCUCUUGCCAUCGGAUGUGCCCAGAUGGGAUUAGCUAGUAGGUGGGGUAACGGCUCACCUAGGCGACGAUCCCUAGCUGGUCUGAGAGGAUGACCAGCCACACUGGAACUGAGACACGGUCCAGACUCCUACGGGAGGCAGCAGUGGGGAAUAUUGCACAAAGGGCGCAAGCCUGAUGCAGCCAUGCCGCGUGUAUGAAGAAGGCCUUCGGGUUGUAAAGUACUUUCAGCGGGGAGGAAGGGAGUAAAGUUAAUACCUUUGCUCAUUGACGUAACCCGCAGAAGAAGCACCGGCUAACUCCGUG
rnacentral:rRNA from 1 species